rnacentral:lncRNA from 1 species
GAUAACUCGAGAGCUAUCGAGGCAGAAUCGUAGUCUGCAAGAUAGUAGAUCUCAGAGUUCGUAGACUGCCAGGAGAGACGAGGAAGGAUCGUAGUGUGUCGAGUAGCACUUCCUCGGAGCCGUAGUCUAUUGAGGAAGUCAUGUUCAGAAUCAUAGAGACAGCCUACCUACGAGCCAACCGAGCACCUGCUGAAGCCAAGUCAAGAAUCUUAGACUACACUCAGAGUCGUAGAGUCUACUGAUCAUAUCAGAGGUAGAGAUCGUAGUUGAGCAAGAUUAGAUGAAGACAACAAGCACAACGACAGAAAUUGUAGAGUGACAAGAUCUUAU